rnacentral:rRNA from 1 species
AAGAGUUCGUAGGUGGUUGAAAAAGUUAGUGGUGAAAUCCCAGAGCUUAACUCUGGAACUGCCAUUAAAACUUUUCAGCUAGAGUAUGAUAGAGGAAAGCAGAAUUUCUAGUGUAGAGGUGAAAUUCGUAGAUAUUAGAAAGAAUACCAAUUGCGAAGGCAGCUUUCUGGAUCAUUACUGACACUGAGGAACGAAAGCAUGGGUAGCGAAGAGGAUUAGAUACCCUCGUAGUCCAUGCCGUAAACGAUGUGUGUUAGACGUUGGAAAUUUAUUUUCAGUGUCGCAGGGAAACCGAUAAACACACCGCCUGGGGAGUACGACCGCAAGGUUAAAACUCAAAUGAAUUGACGGGGACCCGCACAAGUAGUGGAGCAUGUGGUUUAAUUCGAAGAUACGCGCAGAACCUUACCAACACUUGACAUGUUCGUCGCGACUCUAAGAGAUUAGAGUUUUCGGUUCGGCCGGACGAAACACAGGUGCUGCAUGGCUGUCGUCAGCUCGUGUCGUGAGAUGUUGGGUUAAGUCCCGCAACGAGCGCAACCCUCACUUUUAGUUGCCAUCAUUAAGUUGGGCACUCUGAAAGAACUGCCAGUGAUAAGCUGGAGGAAGGUGGGGAUGACGUCAAGUCCUCAUGGCCCUUACGUGUUGGGCUACACACGUGCUACAAUGGUAUCUACAACAGGAAGCAAGACUGCGAAGUUAAGCAAAUCCCUAAAAGAUACCUCAGUUCGGAUU